AGUUUAAAACUUGAAGGAGAAAAAGAGGUUUCUAAAAAUCAAACUGCUGUGGAAACUGCUUUACCCAAAGCUUUGGUCCACAGCCUUCAUAAGAUCACCUAUCAGGGCAAAUAAAAUUUAGCCAUGUGAACAGGUCCCAUUUUGUCAGAAAUAUAAUUUGGAUUCAACUGUCCUUUUAUAAACUGAUCUGAUCAGAACCUGAAUUCUCCUAAUUUUCUUCAAUAUUUGGCUGCAACUCUCCAACUAAGAGCAAAAACUGCUCUGUGCUUGCCGCCUUAGAAGAUGAAGCUAGACAACUUGAUAUAAAUUUCAAGAGACAAGUCUCAUACCCGAAAAAAGAAGGACAAGUCUUGUGCCACACAGAAAGUUCACCAAUCCACCUGAUACCAUAGCAGAGAAUUCAAACUGCAAGCCAAGAGAAGUUGAUGGCUUCAUGCUAUAGGCAGCGUUUCCCAAGACACUCCAUCAAAAUGAGACUCUUGCCCCUCUUAAUUUUUCCUUUCUUAUGCUUACCUUUUUCUUUGGCAAGAUAAUGAUGUAAUUCAGAUUUCACAAUCAGCAGCUUCUGCUCAUAACUUAAAAGAACAUGACCUCUUAGGUAUCUAUUGUUUAAAUAAAAAAAAGUCUACGCUUCCACUAAUACUACAUGUUAUACUUGGGUAAAUUCCUCUGGGGAAGUUGAGGCCCAUAUCCACAGAAUUUUUUAAAUGGGUCACACAGUAACAACAGAUGUCAUCUAAUUCUCAAUGGUCAUUUGCUUUAUUCAAUUGUUUGUCUUUAAGACUGGAUUCAUGGCUCAAAACCAUUAUACAAACUUGGAUUUACCAUAUUACUAUUAAUUUUAUUUUAUAUUUUUGUUUUUAAAACUUGUACCUGUUGCUUGUUAAAUUUCUGCAGAAGUACAACUCCUAACAGAAUAAUGCUGGCCCAGUGCUUUGAGAUUGUGGCCAAAAUACUAUGGAAUAGACAAAACUGAACAUAGCAAUAAAUUCCAGGUAGACUUAGCCUGAGAGCCAUUUCCUCCAAGCCUCCCUUGUUGCUCAAAUGUGGCUAGAACGCUUUUGACACAGAUUCCUACUCACCAAUCACGUCUUCUGAUAUGGGACCAGACCAACAAUCUGGGACACAUCCUGGCACCAAGGGACAAUGAAAAUCUAACUACAGGAUGAUUGAAUGGUGAUACUUUCAGAAAAAGAUCUUGAUCAAAAGGGGGGAAAUGUGAAAGUUAUCAGAAUCAAAAUAGAGUCACUUGUGUCAACAAGAAAAAAACAAAACCAAAAACAGCUGAAAAACAGUGCUUGGGAAGGCCAUAAAGGGAGGAUUCUCACGCACAAGUUCUUGAUAACAAAACUACCACAAAAAAUUCUGCAAAAACUACAACUUCACACAAAGGCCAUCACAACCUUACACAGAAAACACUUCUUUGAGGACAUCUGCCCAGCAAUUGCCUUUCCAAACUUGGACUGACACCACCUUUGUUACUUAUCCUUGUAGCCAAGGAUAAUUAUCUCAAAACUAUUAUGUAAUCCUCCUCAUUUUUUUCUUACAAGACCUUUGUCUUCCUUUACCUCCCUGAAUACACACAUAGUUUACAAUGGCACCCAUAUUCCUAUUGCAAUGCCCAUUUCUGAAUAAAUAUCAUUUUCUGUUAGAGAAUUUCCCUCUCUGUUAUUUAGAAUGACACAAUUUGCUAGGAUCAAAUAUUCUUUUAAACCAAGAGAUAGCACUCUUGAUUUAAAAGAGUGACAUAGGGUUAUAUUUUUAAAGAAGUCAAAUAUGCUUCUAGUGCUUUUGGGCGUUGGCUCCUAAUUGUUCUCUACCCACUUCCUUCCUAAACUGCUUAGAAUCCUCAGCUCAUUACCACUUAUACUCUGCCAAUGCUUUGCUCUCUGCCUUUCUGAACCACAUAUUUGCUAAAAUUCCAUCACUGUGUGAACCAAAUUACUGACCUUCUCUGUGUCCUGCUAGAAUUCCACAACACUCAGUAUAGCGCCUAUAAGAGUGUCUGGCACCUAAGGCCACCCAAUAAACAUUUGCUAAAGGAAUGAAAAAAAUGAAA
ensembl:lncRNA novel transcript, antisense to AK5